rnacentral:rRNA from 1 species
AACGAACGCUGGCGGCAUGCCUAACACAUGCAAGUCGAACGAUACCUUGGGGUCGAGUGGCGACGGGUGGCGUAAGGCGGAGGAACCUGCCCUUAGGUUCGGGAUAGCUCCGCGAAAGGGGUGCUAAUACCGGAUAAUGUCUCCGGACAACAGAGUUAUUGCCUUUGGAUGGGCCCGCGUUGGAUUAGCUAGUUGGUAGGGUAAAAGCCUACCAAGGCGAGGGUCCAUAGCUGGUCAGAGAGGAUGAUCAGCCACACUGGGACUGAGACACGGCCCAGACUCCUGCGGGAGGCAGCAGUGGGGAAUAGUGGACAGUGGGCGACAGCCUGAUGCAGCAAGGCCGGGUGAGUGAUGAAGGACUUAGGGUUGUAAAUCUCUUUUACCCAGGAUGAUAAUGACAGUACCGGGAGAAUAAGCUCCGGCUAACUACGUG